CCUGACGGACAACCAAAUAGCCAAGUGAGCCACCUCCAUGGAAGUAAAACCUUCUGACUGCUCAGGGCACCAUAUGGAAGGUGGGGCAGGUAAGCUUGUAAGAGCUUGUCACCAGGGGUGGCAUGAUGGAGAAGAUCAUCAAAAAGAUAUGGCCAACAGCUGGUUGAUUCUGUAGUAGGAGCCAGGAAAUAAUCGGAGGCUCCUUACCCCUUCCUGUGUCCUUAAGAUGUAUGCUCUGCACUAGAAACUACUUCAGGAGGCAGCCUUGAGAGUACUGUGUUACUGAGAGCUUCUGGACCAUAGAGGAGACAACACUCUUAAGGCCUCCAUGUAAUCUCUUAAGAUUCUGUUGGGCACGUGUAGUGACCUACUCCUCUUGCGGCCACCCAAAACAAGCCUCAUAUGUAAGUUCCCUCGUUUAUUAAAACUGUCUACAAAUCUGGAGUGUCACCGCCUCCCGCCCCCUCCCGCCUCUUUCUCUUGCAUCUCCUUGCCUUUCACAUACAUGGAUCAGUUGUGAAUUUCACCUGGAAAAUCUCAGAGUUGCUAACCCCACCAGGUCAAAGCUGUACAGGGCUCCCUUUCCUUCAGCACCCCGAGGAUUCUGUAAACAUAGUAUAAAAAGAAGCACCUUGAAUAGAGGAUUGUAAACAGCAUUGCAGCAAUGGCCCCUAAGAUCAUGGCCUUCAUAUUGGAAAGCUUCUACAUCUUUAGUCCUGCUUCAAUAAUGUUUGUCAGCCUAACAGUCUCCAAGAAAACCUCUGCCUCCAAGGAAUGUUUUGUUUGUUGAUUUGUAACAUUUGGGGCUGCUCCAGGUGUGAAUUGAGAACCCACUCAGUCGGUAUCAGGAGCAACAAUUGAAAAUAUUCCCCAGCAAUUGCCAAUAUAGUAAUUCCGUUGCAAACGUGGGGUGAGGAGCGUAAUUGCUCAGAGCAUGCGCGGCUGAUAUUCCACGGAGGAGCCCAGAGCUAUGAGGAGGGAAGGUGGUAUGGGCCAGGCUACCCUCCCUGGCUUCUGCUGUCUGGUUAGAGUCCAGCCGGAGCCAUUUCUAACUGCUUUCGGAUCAUAGUCUUCUCUGGAGAAUCUGAAUUGCCUCAGAUAACAAUUCUCCAAGUUUCCACUUGGUAUUCUCCAAACCGUCUGUUCACCAGGAUUUAGAGAAUUUCCUAGCCAGUGCUGAGAAUGAGUUCCAUGUGCCACUGCCAUUGGUGACCAGAGUUCCGAAGCUUGCUUCUAAUGUCUAUGAAGAGAGUCUUACGUGAGAUUUGAUGACAAAGGAAAGAAAAUGGAGUCUGCAGUUCCUGGCGCUGUUUGGUGCUAUGUGACAGUGAGAAGGAGAUCCAAGAGAGCACAACAAAAUAUGAAACUCAAGUAAUACUUGAGAAUUGGCUGCAAGUUUGAAUGCUUUCUUCAAUCAAUGUAUGGCUUCGUCAGCAGAGUUUGAAGUAUCUGAUCACAGGUCUGCUGAAAUAUUUGCUGACCAUUAAACUAUGCAAACAAAGGUCUGAUCCUUCAUGAACCAGGCUAAAAAAUAUAAAUUAAAAUUAUAAAAUCUGAUGAGAGACAUCAGCUUGGAGGAAACAAUGUAGGGGAAACAAAUACCACAAUAUGAGUCUAACCAAACUAGCAGAACACAUAAACAAACAGAAACCUCAGUGAUAACAUAAAUCACAUUCCAAAGCUGCUAGAAACUACUUUCUAAAAUAUUUUAUUUUCAACCAAAACUAAUAGACACGCAAGAAAGACAAAGGAGAUUUUUACCCACACUAUAGAAAAUAAAACACUCAAUAAAAGCUGACUUUUAGGACAUCUAGAUGUUAGAUUUAGUAGGG